UACGUAGGGUGCAAGCGUUAAUCGGAAUACUGGGCGUAAAGCGUGCGCAGGCGGUUUUGUAAGACAGAGGUGAAAUCCCCGGGCUCAACCUGGGAACUGCCUUUGUGACUGCAAGGCUUGAGUGCGGCAGAGGGGGAUGGAAUUCCGCGUGUAGCAGUGAAAUGCGUAGAUAUGCGGAGGAACACCGAUGCGAAGGCAAUCCCCUGGGCCUGCACUGACGCUCAUGCACGAAAGCGUGGGGAGCAAACAGG
rnacentral:rRNA from 1 species